UGGGGAAUCUUGCGCAAUGGGCGAAAGCCUGACGCAGCGACGCCGCGUGGAGGAUGAAGGCCUUCGGGUUGUAAACUCUUUUUCUUAGGGAAAAUGAUGAUGGUACCUAAGGAAUAAGCCACGGCUAACUCUGUGCCAGCAGCCGCGGUAAGACAGAGGUGGCGAGCGUUGUUCGGAAUUACUGGGCUUAAAGGGCGAGUAGGCGGUGGAGCAAGUCUGAGGUGGAAACCUAUGGCUCAACCAUAGAACUGCCUUGGAUACUGUUUCACUUGAGUCAGUGAGGGGAGGGCGGAAUUCCCGGUGUAGCGGUGAAAUGCGUAGAUAUCGGGAGGAAGGCCAGUGGCGAAGGCGGCCCUCUGGUGCUGAACUGACGCUGAGGCGCGAAAGCGUGGGGAGCAAA
rnacentral:rRNA from 1 species